UACGAAGGGGGCGAGCGUUGUUCGGAUUUACUGGGCGUAAAGGGCGCGCAGGCGGCCGCAUUUGUCAGGCGUGAAAGCCCCGGGCUUAACCUGGGAACUGCGUUUGAUACGGUGUGGCUAGAGUUCGGGAGAGGAGAGUGGAAUUCCCAGUGUAGAGGUGAAAUUCGAUAGAUAUUGGGAAGAACACCAGUGGCGAAGGACGGCUGC
rnacentral:rRNA from 1 species